GACGAACGCUGGCGGCGUGCUUAACACAUGCAAGUCGAACAGAAAGGCCUGCUUUCCCUUGUGGAUUGCGGGUACUCGAGUGGCGAACGGGUGAGUAACACGUGAGUGAUCUGCCCCCAACUUGGGUAUAAGCCUGGGAAACUGGGUCUAAUUCCCGAUAGGACUGCAGGGUGGUGCCUGUGGUGGAAAACGAUUUUCUAGUGGUUGGGGAUGAGCUCGCGGCCUAUCAGCUUGUUGGUGGGGUAAUGGCCUACCAAGGCGGCGACGGGUAGCCGGCCUGAGAGGGUGGACGGCCACAUUGGGACUGAGAUACGGCCCAGACUCCUACGGGAGGCAGCAGUGGGGAAUAUUGCACAAUGGGCGGAAGCCUGAUGCAGCGACGCCGCGUGGGGGAUGACGGCCUUCGGGUUGUAAUCUCCUUUCGACCGCGAGGAAGCCACCUGGUUGGAAGGGUGGUGACGGUAGUGGUAGAAGAAGCACCGGCUAACUACGUG
rnacentral:rRNA from 1 species